AAUCACAAUAACUUAAGAAGUAAAGUGAUGUGAGCAUUGUAAUUUCUUAUGUGCUAUACAAAUAGUGGAAGGUUAAUUAGCAGAGUAACUGCAUAUAGUAAUUUCUGCCAGUCCCCUUCAGACAAAA
ensembl:snoRNA